AGUGAACGCUGGCGGUAGGCCUAACACAUGCAAGUCGAACGGCAGCACAGUAAGAGCUUGCUCUUACGGGUGGCGAGUGGCGGACGGGUGAGGAAUACAUCGGAAUCUACUUUUUCGUGGGGGAUAACGUAGGGAAAACUUACGCUAAUACCGCAUACGACCUACGGGUGAAAGCAGGGGAUCUUCGGACCUUGCGCGAUUGAAUGAGCCGAUGCCGGAUUAGCUAGUUGGCGGGGUAAAGGCCCACCAAGGCGACGAUCCGUAGCUGGUCUGAGAGGAUGAUCAGCCACACUGGAACUGAGACACGGUCCAGACUCCUACGGGAGGCAGCAGUGGGGAAUAUUGGACAAUGGGCGCAAGCCUGAUCCAGCCAUACCGCGUGGGUGAAGAAGGCCUUCGGGUUGUAAAGCCCUUUUGUUGGGAAAGAAAAGCAGCAGGUUAAUACCCCGCUGUUCUGACGGUACCCAAAGAAUAAGCACCGGCUAACUUCGUG
rnacentral:rRNA from 1 species